CGAGCCCGGCCGCUACGGUAGGUGCGCGCAGGUGCCGAGUCCCCUCGAGGGGCGCAGGUGGGCGGCGGCGGCCUCGCGGGGCGGGGCGGGGCGGAGCGGGGAAGGUG
rnacentral:miRNA from 1 species